rnacentral:miRNA from 1 species
GCACGUUGGUUCAACUUUCGA